CUGCAGGUAAUAAGCUGAUCAUGCUCCUUUCCUCAUGGGGGACUGGUGCAAUGGCUGCAGCCUCCUUGCUAGUGUACGUAGCCUGUUGCUUGUAUAGGUUGCUCUAAGGGACCUUAGAGACAUUC
ensembl:snoRNA SNORA70 Small nucleolar RNA SNORA70